UACAGAGGGUGCAAGCGUUAAUCGGAAUUACUGGGCGUAAAGCGUGCGUAGUCGGUUAUUUAAGUCGGAUGUGAAAUCCCCGGGCUCAACCUGGGAAUUGCAUUCGAUACUGGGUAGCUAGAGUUCGGCAGAGGGAAGCGGAAUUCCGGGUGUAGCGGUGAAAUGCGUAGAUAUCCGAAGGAACAUCAGUGGCGAAAGCGGCUUCCUGGACCAGAACUGACGAUCAGGCACGAAAGCGUGGGGAGCAAACAGG
rnacentral:rRNA from 1 species